rnacentral:rRNA from 1 species
GGGUUGUGAGGUUAAGCGACUAAGCGUACACGGUGGAUGCCCUGGCAGUCAGAGGCGAUGAAGGACGUGCUAAUCUGCGAUAAGCGUCGGUAAGGUGAUAUGAACCGUUAUAACCGGCGAUUUCCGAAUGGGGAAACCCAGUGUGAUUCGUCACACUAUCAUUAACUGAAUCCAUAGGUUAAUGAGGCGAACCGGGGGAACUGAAACAUCUAAGUACCCCGAGGAAAAGAAAUCAACCGAGAUUCCCCCAGUAGCGGCGAGCGAACGGGGAGCAGCCCAGAGCCUGAAUCAGUGUGUGUGUUAGUGGAAGCGUCUGGAAAGGCGCGCGAUACAGGGUGACAGCCCCGUACACAAAAAUGCACAUACUGUGAGCUCGAUGAGUAGGGCGGGACACGUGGUAUCCUGUCUGAAUAUGGGGGGACCAUCCUCCAAGGCUAAAUACUCCUGACUGACCGAUAGUGAACCAGUACCGUGAGGGAAAGGCGAAAAGAACCCCGGCGAGGGGAGUGAAAAAGAACCUGAAACCGUGUACGUACAAGCAGUGGGAGCACGCUUAGGCGUGUGACUGCGUACCUUUUGUAUAAUGGGUCAGCGACUUAUAUUCUGUAGCAAGGUUAACCGAAUAGGGGAGCCGAAGGGAAACCGAGUCUUAACUGGGCGUUAAGUUGCAGGGUAUAGACCCGAAACCCGGUGAUCUAGCCAUGGGCAGGUUGAAGGUUGGGUAACACUAACUGGAGGACCGAACCGACUAAUGUUGAAAAAUUAGCGGAUGACUUGUGGCUGGGGGUGAAAGGCCAAUCAAACCGGGAGAUAGCUGGUUCUCCCCGAAAGCUAUUUAGGUAGCGCCUCGUGAAUUCAUCUCCGGGGGUAGAGCACUGUUUCGGCAAGGGGGUCAUCCCGACUUACCAACCCGAUGCAAACUGCGAAUACCGGAGAAUGUUAUCACGGGAGACACACGGCGGGUGCUAACGUCCGUCGUGAAGAGGGAAACAACCCAGACCGCCAGCUAAGGUCCCAAAGUCAUGGUUAAGUGGGAAACGAUGUGGGAAGGCCCAGACAGCCAGGAUGUUGGCUUAGAAGCAGCCAUCAUUUAAAGAAAGCGUAAUAGCUCACUGGUCGAGUCGGCCUGCGCGGAAGAUGUAACGGGGCUAAACCAUGCACCGAAGCUGCGGCAGCGACGCUUAUGCGUUGUUGGGUAGGGGAGCGUUCUGUAAGCCUGCGAAGGUGUGCUGUGAGGCAUGCUGGAGGUAUCAGAAGUGCGAAUGCUGACAUAAGUAACGAUAAAGCGGGUGAAAAGCCCGCUCGCCGGAAGACCAAGGGUUCCUGUCCAACGUUAAUCGGGGCAGGGUGAGUCGACCCCUAAGGCGAGGCCGAAAGGCGUAGUCGAUGGGAAACAGGUUAAUAUUCCUGUACUUGGUGUUACUGCGAAGGGGGGACGGAGAAGGCUAUGUUGGCCGGGCGACGGUUGUCCCGGUUUAAGCGUGUAGGCUGGUUUUCCAGGCAAAUCCGGAAAAUCAAGGCUGAGGCGUGAUGACGAGGCACUACGGUGCUGAAGCAACAAAUGCCCUGCUUCCAGGAAAAGCCUCUAAGCAUCAGGUAACAUCAAAUCGUACCCCAAACCGACACAGGUGGUCAGGUAGAGAAUACCAAGGCGCUUGAGAGAACUCGGGUGAAGGAACUAGGCAAAAUGGUGCCGUAACUUCGGGAGAAGGCACGCUGAUAUGUAGGUGAAGUCCCUCGCGGAUGGAGCUGAAAUCAGUCGAAGAUACCAGCUGGCUGCAACUGUUUAUUAAAAACACAGCACUGUGCAAACACGAAAGUGGACGUAUACGGUGUGACGCCUGCCCGGUGCCGGAAGGUUAAUUGAUGGGGUCAGCGCAAGCGAAGCUCUUGAUCGAAGCCCCGGUAAACGGCGGCCGUAACUAUAACGGUCCUAAGGUAGCGAAAUUCCUUGUCGGGUAAGUUCCGACCUGCACGAAUGGCGUAAUGAUGGCCAGGCUGUCUCCACCCGAGACUCAGUGAAAUUGAACUCGCUGUGAAGAUGCAGUGUACCCGCGGCAAGACGGAAAGACCCCGUGAACCUUUACUAUAGCUUGACACUGAACAUUGAGCCUUGAUGUGUAGGAUAGGUGGGAGGCUUUGAAGUGUGGACGCCAGUCUGCAUGGAGCCGGCCUUGAAAUACCACCCUUUAAUGUUUGAUGUUCUAACGUUGACCCGUGAUCCGGGUUGCGGACAGUGUCUGGUGGGUAGUUUGACUGGGGCGGUCUCCUCCUAAAGAGUAACGGAGGAGCACGAAGGUUGGCUAAUCCUGGUCGGACAUCAGGAGGUUAGUGCAAUGGCAUAAGCCAGCUUGACUGCGAGCGUGACGGCGCGAGCAGGUGCGAAAGCAGGUCAUAGUGAUCCGGUGGUUCUGAAUGGAAGGGCCAUCGCUCAACGGAUAAAAGGUACUCCGGGGAUAACAGGCUGAUACCGCCCAAGAGUUCAUAUCGACGGCGGUGUUUGGCACCUCGAUGUCGGCUCAUCACAUCCUGGGGCUGAAGUAGGUCCCAAGGGUAUGGCUGUUCGCCAUUUAAAGUGGUACGCGAGCUGGGUUUAGAACGUCGUGAGACAGUUCGGUCCCUAUCUGCCGUGGGCGCUGGAGAACUGAGGGGGGCUGCUCCUAGUACGAGAGGACCGGAGUGGACGCAUCACUGGUGUUCGGGUUGUCAUGCCAAUGGCACUGCCCGGUAGCUAAAUGCGGAAGAGAUAAGUGCUGAAAGCAUCUAAGCACGAAACUUGCCCCGAGAUGAGUUCUCCCUGACUCCUUGAGAGUCCUGAAGGAACGUUGAAGACGACGACGUUGAUAGGCCGGGUGUGUAAGCGCAGCGAUGCGUUGAGCUAACCGGUACUAAUGAACCGUGAGGCUUAACCUUACAACGCCGAAGGUGUUU